rnacentral:rRNA from 1 species
UGUCGUCAGCUCGUGUCGUGAGAUGUUCGGUUAAGUCCGCUAACGAGCGCAACCCUCGCUGUGUGUUAUAUGUGUCACACGGGACUGCCGGUCUUAAGCCGGAGGAAGGUGGGGAUGAUGUCAAGUCAGCAUGGCCUUUAUAUCCUGGGCUACACACACGCUACAAUGGCCAACACAAUAGGUUGCUAAGCCGCGAGGUGGCGCCAAUCCAUAAAGUUGGUCUCAGUUCAGAUUGUAGGCUGCAACCCGCCUGCAUGAAGAUGGAGUUGCUAGUAACCGCAGGUCAGCUAUACUGCGGUGAAUACGUUCUCGGGCCUU